rnacentral:rRNA from 1 species
CUCGACAAUGGAUAUCUCGGUUCUCGCAUCGAUGAAGAACGUAGUGAAAUGCGAUACUUGGUGUGAAUUGCAGAAUCCCGUGAACCAUCAAGUUUUUGAACGCAGUUACGCCUGAAGCCUUCUGGCUGAGGGCACAUCUUCCUGGGCAUUACG